UACGAUUCUCGGGUGAUGCACCCCAGAAUCGGGCUUCCUACUCUCUGGUUCCAGGGUAUGUCACCUGAGAACUGCC
rfam:Myotis brandtii contig218493, whole genome shotgun sequence.